rnacentral:rRNA from 1 species
GAUGAACGCUAGCGGGAGGCCUAACACAUGCAAGCCGAGCGGUAGAGAUCUUUCGGGAUCUUGAGAGCGGCGUACGGGUGCGGAACACGUGUGCAACCUGCCUUUAUCAGGGGGAUAGCCUUUCGAAAGGAAGAUUAAUACCCCAUAAUAUAUCGAGUGGCAUCACUUGAUAUUGAAAACUCCGGUGGAUAGAGAUGGGCACGCGCAAGAUUAGAUAGUUGGUGAGGUAACGGCUCACCAAGUCUACGAUCUUUAGGGGGCCUGAGAGGGUGAUCCCCCACACUGGUACUGAGACACGGACCAGACUCCUACGGGAGGCAGCAGUGAGGAAUAUUGGACAAUGGGUGAGAGCCUGAUCCAGCCAUCCCGCGUGAAGGACGACGGCCCUAUGGGUUGUAAACUUCUUUUGUAUAGGGAUAAACCUAGAUACGUGUAUCUAGC